GGUGCGGUAGUUCAGCUGGUUAGAAUGCCGGCCUGUCACGCCGGAGGUCGAGGGUUCGAGCCCCUUCCGCACCGCCA
rnacentral:tRNA from 1 species